rnacentral:rRNA from 1 species
GAUGAGCGCUGGCGGCGUGCCUAAUACAUGCCAGUCGAGCGAACAGACGAGGAGCUUGCUCCUCUGACGUUAGCGGCGGACGGGUGAGUAACACGUGGAUAACCUACCUAUAAGACUGGGAUAACUUCGGGAAACCGGAGCUAAUACCGGAUAAUAUAUUGAACCGCAUGGUUCAAUAGUGAAAGACGGUUUUGCUGUCACUUAUAGAUGGAUCCGCGCCGCAUUAGCUAGUUGGUAAGGUAACGGCUUACCAAGGCGACGAUGCGUAGCCGACCUGAGAGGGUGAUCGGCCACACUGGAACUGAGACACGGUCCAGACUCCUACGGGAGGCAGCAGUAGGGAAUCUUCCGCAAUGGGCGAAAGCCUGACGGAGCAACGCCGCGUGAGUGAUGAAGGUCUUCGGAUCGUAAAACUCUGUUAUUAGGGAAGAACAAAUGUGUAAGUAACUAUGCACGUCUUGACGGUACCUAAUCAGAAAGCCACGGCUAACUACGUG